rnacentral:rRNA from 1 species
AACGAACGCUGGCGGCAUGCCUAACACAUGCAAGUCGAACGAGAUCUUCGGGUCUAUUGGCGCACGGGUGCGUAACGCGUGGGAAUCUGCCCUUUGGUUCGGAAUAACAGUUGGAAACGACUGCUAAUACAGGACGAUGACGAAAGUCCAAAGAUUUAUCGUCAGAGGAUGAGCCCGCGUAGGAUUAGCUAGUUGGUGUGGUAAAGGCGAGCCAAGGCGACGAUCCUUAGCUCGCCUGAGAGGAUGAUCAGCCACACUGGGACUGAGACACGGCCCAGGCUCCUACGGGAGGCAGCAGUGGGGAAUAUUGGACAAUGGGCGAAAGCCUGAUCCAGCUAUGCCGCGUGAGUGAUGAAGGCCUUAGGGUUGUAAAGCUCUGUUACCCGGGAUGAUAAUGACAGUACCGGGAGAAUAAGCUCCGGCUAACUCCGUGCCAGCCGCCGCCGUAA